UCAUAAUAGCAACACAUUCACUUGUACAGUAUCAUCAGAUUUACUGGCUAUGAACCUGACAGAGUCUAUUACUAUUAGUGUAUUAGAUACCAGUGUCUCAUCUGUUACUGUACAAUCAUUAUCCUCUUAUGUUAUUGGUGAUGAUGUAUCAAUAGUGUGUACUAUUAGUCUCACUAAUGCUAUUGGUCCUGAUGUUUCUUCACUUGUAGUGAACUGGUUUAAA